UUUUUAGAGGUUAAAUUAAAUCAGCGACCGAUCAGCAACCGCGGACAGUUGUUGAUAUUAACUAGCGACUAGAUUGAAGUGUGGUUUCUAAUAGCGGUCGCUAAAAAUAGAAUUAACGACCGGAAAUGGCGGUCGCUGAAAGUCUUGAUCGCUGUUUGGCCAUUUUCUUGUAGUGAAACUCGUCGAAAUACAAACGAGUUCACCCAAGAAGAUGAGAUAUAUGAUGUCAUCUCGGUCAUCAACUUGUUUUUGGCCAUUUUGAAAGACUAAAC
rnacentral:lncRNA from 1 species